ACCAUUGUUUUUUGAUGGUGUCAAAUUUGGUUGAAUAUCUUGACAACACUGAAGAACUUUUUGCUGACACAUCGCAAAAUAAAAAGUUACAAAUAAAUUUUGAUAUUGUUGUUCCUAAGAUAUCUUGUGAUUUUUUAGAUGCAGUUGAUAAUUCAGGUGAAACAAAUCUGCAGGUUGAUCAUAAUAUUUAUAAAUGGAGAUUAAAUUUAGGAGGUCAACCAAUUAGCAAUCCUGAAAAAUCUGAUGCCUGCAUCUAUGUUAAAAUCAAAUGAAAUAGAUAAUGCUAAUAAUACUGAAGCACUUUGUGGAAGCUGUUAAGAAGCGGGAUGUUCAACUAUUCUGUAUAUAGGAUUUUAUCAACUCACCAUAGACUUAGGUGUAAUACAUGUGAUGAUGUUAAAAGAGCUUACACAAUGAAAAAUUGGGAUUUCUGUCCUUUAAGUUUAAACAAUGCAAGAAUCAAUCAUCUCAAAAUGAAAUGUAUAUGUAUGACAUAGCAUUUAAAGGAGAUUGUCAAUUGUAUGGUACACUACUGGUAAAUAAGGUUAGUGGAAGUUUUCAUAUUGCUCCAGGAAUGAGUUUUUUUGUUUAAUCAUAUGCAUGUUAAUGACGCACAUCCAUUUUCAUCUUCAUCGUUAACACAACUCACACUAUAAGACAUUUAUCAUUUCGUCAAAUAUUGGAAUCAAUGAAUACGAGUCAUUGUGGUAAUCCAUUGGACUCAACUGAAUCUUUGCUCGAAAAGUAUGCAAUGAUUCAUCAUUGUAUUCAAAUAUAACACAUCCAUUACUACGAUAUGCUCAACAACCACUGUACAGCAAAACAGUAGCUUGGUAUCCACUCGUCCACUUUUCUUAUGCCGGCUUGCAAAGCAGGGAGUCAGAAUGGAAUGUCAAGGACG